rnacentral:tRNA from 1 species
CACUAGUAACCUUUUAAGACUAGGUCUUUUGAACCUAAAAUAAGUAGUUUCUACUACUAGUGA